rnacentral:rRNA from 1 species
UGCGUAAGCGGCCGCUUAAGUAGGGUGUGAAGUGUCCCGGCUCAACCGGGGAAUGGCGCUCUAAACUGGGUGGCUCGAGUGAGAUAGAGGUGUGCGGAACUUCCGGUGGAGCGGUGAAAUGUGUUGAUAUCGGAAGGAACACCAUUGGCGAAAGCGGCACACUGGGUCUUAACUGACGCUGAGGCACGAAAGCCAGGGGAAGGCAAACG